rnacentral:misc_RNA from 1 species
UCUCCGUUGGUGAACCAGCGGAGGGAUCAUUACCGAGUUUACAACUCCCAAACCCAAUGUGAACCAUACCAAACUGUUGCUUCGGCGGGUUAACGCCCCGGAAGGCCCAAAAAGCCGCCGGAACCAGGCGCCCGCCGGGGGACCCAAACUCUUGUAUUUCUUACUUUGCAUGUCUGAGUGGAAUCAUAAACAAAUGAAUCAAAACUUUCAACAACGGAUCUCUUGGUUCUG